CUGGGCGUAAUUCAGCAGUAGAAGGCAUGGUUCGGGACCAUGAAGUCGUUGGUGCAAGUCCAACCGCCCAGA
rnacentral:tRNA from 1 species